rnacentral:tRNA from 1 species
AGCCCGGUCGUCUAGCGGCCAAACUUCACCAGAGAAAUAGGGCUAGGGAUACCAGGCUCUGGACCUGGUGACGCCAGUUCGAAUCUGGCCCGGGCUACCA